AUUGAACGCUGGCGGCAGGCCCAACACAUGCAAGUCGAACGAGUGGCGGACGGGUGAGUAAUGUCUGGGAAACUGCCUGAUGGAGGGGGAUAACUAUUGGAAAUGGUAGCUAAUACCGCAUACCAUCAGAUGUGCCCAGAUGGGAUUAGCUAGUUGGUGGGGUAACGGCUCACGAAGGCGACGAUCCCUAGCUGGUCUGCGAGUAUGACCAGCAAAAAUGGAACUGAGACACGGUCCAGACUCUUACGUGAGGCAGCAGUGGGAAUGAUUGCAUAAUGGGCGAAAGCCUGAUGCAGCCAUGCCGAGGGUAUGAAGAAGACCUUCGAGUUGGAAAGUACUUUCAGCGGGGAGGCGUUACCCGCAGAAGAAGCACCGGCUAACUCGGUGCCAGCAGCCGCGGUAAUAC
rnacentral:rRNA from 1 species